rnacentral:rRNA from 1 species
AUGCGCGGCACCCAACGUUGGGUGCUUCAGGGCGACGCCAACACGGCCUACUUCCAGGCGAUUGCCAACGGCCAACGGCGCCGCAACUCCAUUCAUUCCUUGUGGGCGGGUGACUCUCAGCUUGUUCGUCCCUCGGACAUCCGCGCGCACGUAGAUGGCUUUUAUAAGCCCUUUUUACCCCCACCCCUCGGGGUGGGGCUGCACUGGCCCCCGAUACCUGGUCGGGAGACCAGCUUGUUUCCGCCGAGGCCAAUGGCGCUCUAG